AACUCACCGAAAGGUGUGCUAAUACCGGAUACGUUGAGUAAUCAAGAAAGGUGGCCUCUGAAUAUGCUACUGUGCUGAGAUGAGCUUGCGUACCAUUAGCUAGUUGGUAGGGUAAUGGCCUACCAAGGCGACGAUGGUUAGCGGGUCUGAGAGGAUGAUCCGCCACACUGGAACUGGAACACGGACCAGACUCCUACGGGAGGCAGCAGUGAGGAAUAUUGCGCAAUGGGGGUAACCCUGACGCAGCGACGCCGCGUGGAUGAUGAAGGCCUUCGGGUCGUAAAGUCCUGUCAGGUGGAAAGAAGUGUAUAUGUGCUAACAUCACAUAUGCUUGACGGUACCACCGAAGGAAGCACCGGCUAACUCCGUGCCAGCAGCCGCGGUAAUACGGAGGGUGCAAGCGUUGUUCGGAAUUACU
rnacentral:rRNA from 1 species